rnacentral:rRNA from 1 species
GGCGGACGGGUGAGUAAUGUCUGGGAAACUGCCUGAUGGAGGGGGAUAACUACUGGAAACGGUAGCUAAUACCGCAUAACGUCGCAAGACCAAAGAGGGGGACCUUCGGGCCUCUUGCCAUCGGAUGUGCCCAGAUGGGAUUAGCUUGUUGGUGGGGUAACGGCUCACCUAGGCGACGAUCCCUAGCUGGUCUGAGAGGAUGACCAGCCACACUGGAACUGAGACACGGUCCAGACUCCUACGGGAGGCAGCAGUGGGGAAUAUUGCACAAUGGGCGCAAGCCUGAUGCAGCCAUGCCGCGUGUAUGAAGAAGGCCUUCGGGUUGUAAAGUACUUUCAGCGGGGAGGAAGGGAGUAAAGUUAAUACCUUUGCUCAUUGACGUUACCCGCAGAAGAAGCACCGGCUAACUCCGUGCCAGCAGCCGCGGUAAUACGGAGGGUGCAAGCGUUAAUCGGAAUUACUGGGCGUAAAGCGCACGCAGGCGGUUUGUUAAGUCAGAUGUGAAAUCCCCGGGCUCAACCUGGGAACUGCAUCU